rnacentral:rRNA from 1 species
AUUGAACGCUGGCGGCAUGCCUAACACAUGCAAGUCGAACGAGUGGCGGACGUGUUAGUAAUGUCUGGGCAACUGCCCGAUGGAGGGGGAUCACUACUGGAAACGGUAGCUAAUACCGCAUACCAUCGGAUGUGCCCAGAUGGGUUUAGCUAGUAGGUGGGGUACAGGCUCACCUCGGCGACGAUCCCUUGCAGGUCUGAGAGGAUGACCAGCCACACUGGAACUGAGACACGGUCCAGACUCCUACGGGAGGCAGCAGUGGGGAAUAUUGGACAAUGGGCGCAAGCCUGAUGCAGCCAUGCCGCGUGUAUGAAGAAGGCCUUCGGGUUGUAAAGUACUUUCAGCGGGGAGGCGUUACCCGCAGAAGAAGCACCGGCUAACUCCGUGCCAGCAGCCGCGGUAAUAC